rnacentral:lncRNA from 1 species
CCAGAGUCCCGGGUUGACCGUGCUCAGGCGUCCGGCGGCCCCGGAGGUCAAGGCCCGGCAAGUCAGUGAGCAGAGCAGACCUCUGAGGAAGCAGGCCGAAAGGCAGAGGGUCGCCCGGGCCGGGCCCAGCGCACCUCGGGUCACCAGUCCAAGGGCGCUGUCCCCGCAGUGGGUCUGUGCCCGGACGUCUGCAGCAGAACGCACCCGACCCAGGCAAUGCCCGGCGCCGAGGGGUCCGGAAGUCGGCCAGCUGUAGCCGCCGGGCCGCGGGGCCGAGGGGAAGGAGCGGGCGGUCCGGGCCGACCACCGCAGGGCCGGGGCGCCGAAGACCUGAGUCCCUGGAAGGCAGAGCCUGUGGCAUUUCGGUCCUGCAUCUCUCUCCUGUGCUCAACAAAGAACACAUGUGCACCAUAGAAGAUUCUUUGAAAGACCGACUAACCUCUGGGUCAGCAAACUUAUUUUUCCUUAAAGGAAAAUAAAAUAGGAUUUCCAGAAAUGAAACAGAUUUCCUUCACUCAUAAUGAAGGCUCAAGCUUAAUCAGGAUGGAACCCGAAUAUGGAAAAAUGAGGCUGAAAUGGGAUUCAGAGAUGCAUGUUUACGAAAUUCACUUUACCAGAUGCCAUAAUACUUUUGGGUUCUUUUCCAAGAGGAAAGCUGCUGCCUGUUAGUGUCCAUUUGAAUGCUGCAAGUUAAAAAAGCCAGGGCUCACAUUCACUAGGAUGGCUACUAUUGGUGCUGGCCCUGUGGCCUAGUGGUUAGAUUUGGAGUGCUUCACUUCAGCAGCCUGGGUUUGUGGGUUUGGAUCCCAUGGCAUCACUCGUGAGCCAUGAAGUGGCAGUGACCCACAUACAAAAUAGGGGAAGAUUGGCACAGAUGUAGCUCAUGGCGAAUCUUCCUCAGCCAAAAAAAAGAUAGCUACUAUCAAAAAAACAGAAAACAAGUGUUGGCGAGGAUGUCAAGAAAUCGGAACCCUUGUGCCAAUGGGAAUGUAAAAUGGAGAUUCCUCAAAAAAUUAAACAAAGGAUUAGCAUAUGACCCAGCAAUCCCACUUCUGGGGAUAUGCCCAGAAGAACUGAAAGCGGGACCUCAAAGUGCAAUUUAUACACCCACAUUCAUAGUGGCAUUAUUCACAAUAGCUACAAGGUGG